GUCCUUUUGAAUAUAAUUUAAGGUCUAGCCUGCCCAAUGAUGAAAAUUUAAUGGCCGCAGUAUACUGACUGUGCAAAGGUAGCAUAAUCAUUAGUUUUUUAAUUGAAAGCUUGUAUGAAAGGUUUGAUGAAAAAAGAAUUGUCUCUAAAUAAAAUUUUUGAAUUUUAUUUUUAAGUUAAAAAGCUUAAAUUAGUAUUGAAGACGAGAAGACCCUAUAGAGUUUUAUUUAUGUAAUAAUAAAUUAAGUUUUAGGAUUUUAAAUUUGUAUUAUUAAGUAAAUUUAGUUGGGGUGAUUGAAAAAUUUACUAAACUUUUUUUUUAUUUAAACAUUUAUUUAUGAAUUUUUGAUCCUUUAUAAGAUUAUAAGAUAAAAUUACCUUAGGGAUAACAGCGUAAUUUUUUUUAGAGUUCUUAUCGAAAAAAAAGAUUGCGACCUCGAUGUUGGAUUAAAUUAAAUUUUUGGUGUAGAAGCUAAAAAAUUAGGUCUGUUCGACCUUUAAAUUUUUACAUGAUCUGAGUUUAAACCGGUGUAAG
rnacentral:rRNA from 1 species